CUCCGGGAAGAGCUUUUGGUGGCGUUUAUUCCUCAUUCUUGAGGUUUUUAGGGCCAGUAAGUAAAUUAGAGGAGAUUUCCCCCCUUCCUAAGGGGUUGCAGCGGUCUUGGCGACCACCUGGAUUUGGGGGAUGAGGCGCCAUGGAAAUUUUGUCGCCUCUUUUUGGAACUUUGGGCAUCUUCCAGCACCGGAGCUCAGCACUGAGGGGUGUGUGCUCUGUCCUCGACAGGCAGGAUUAUUGACUCCACACUGUGAGAAUUCCCCUCCUGAACACCUGCGCCAGAGCAAUUUCCUGCCUCCCUCCUGUUCCUGUCUGCCUGUGCUUCCCCAGGAGCCCUGCACAGCAGGAAUGUGGCAUCUGUCAACACGUGCUGCAGGAGAAGCACAGGAGCUGAGAGCGGGGCUGAGUGUGUCUGAAAUAAUUUCAUUAUUUAUGGGCUGCUGGGGAGCUGCAGGAACAGGCAGGAUGUGGGGAACACCAGGAUUUUGGGCUCAGAGGGCAGAAGUGCAGUGACAGGUGUGGCAGUCUGGUGGCACAAGGUGGAUGUGGAAUUUCUGAAAGGAGCAGAUUUCAGCAGGGUUCAGUGUGGGGCAGCUUCAGCUCUGUGGGGCUUUGGAACUCUGUUACACCUGUUGGUUAAUUUGCUUUUUUGGCCAAAACUCUUCUCCUGCUGCAUCCUGAGGUGUUGGCACCUCUUGGAAUCACAGAUUGGAGGCCCUGGAGUGUCACUUGAAUUUCCAAUCAGUUACUUGCCAGUGGAUUUAAUCCAAGUUUUUGGGUUCAUUUGUUUAAACAUUAAAUACUGGGCUAAAUCUGAAUGAAUUCUCCCUCCUGGGUUGGAUGUGGAGUGUCCUGAAGGUUUUUAUGCCAUGUGAAAUCUCCAUCACACCUGAUUUAUCCAAGGCAGAUGCCACCACCAAAAAAAUAACUUGUCCUGAAUGGGCUCCUCUCUUGUAAGGUUGAGUUUAUUGAUCACAUUGUUUAAACCUUAAAUAUUGGGCUGAAUUUGAAUAACUUUCCCUUCCUGGAUUGGACCUGGGAGUCUCCUGAAGGUUUUUAGACCCUGAAUCUCCAUCACACCUGACUGAUGCCCCCAGAAAAAAACAAAACAAAAACCUUGUCCUGAGUCAGCUCCUGUCUCAUAAUGCUGAAAAAUGAGACCUUUGGUAACUGGGGCAAGAAAAGUGCUUUGAUUAUCAUCAUUCCCUGCCCAAACAUUGCUGCUGCUGGGCAGGGAGGGGAAGGAUGGCCUGGCAGGAGUUGAGGAUGCUGAUUCCAUCCACCUCUGGCUCCAGGUGGGAUUGUCCAGAGCGGCUCCCUGAGCCCAGGGAUGGAUUUCAGGAGCAGGGAUGGCUUUGAGCUGAGCCUACAGAACAGUGCCCUCUCGUGUGCUGACAGGGCUGCGAGCUGCAAUCCCUCCCAAACUCCUCCUGGAUUCUGGAGUGUGCCCUAGGAAUUCAGCCUGAUCUGUGUGCACAGGUUGUUAUUUGUAUUUUUUCCUCUCUUUUCUCUUGCUAAAGAUUUUUGUGACUGCGGUUUUAAAUUAUGUAAAUGAAUUAGCUUUUUUAAAAUACUUUAUAGUUCAAUACACUGAUAUUUU